rnacentral:rRNA from 1 species
GAGUUUGAUCCUGGCUCAGGACGAACGCUGGCGGCGCGCCUAACACAUGCAAGUCGAACGAGCGAGAGAGAGCUUGCUUUCUCAAGCGAGUGGCGAACGGGUGAGUAACGCGUGAGGAACCUGCCUCAAAGAGGGGGACAACAGUUGGAAACGACUGCUAAUACCGCAUAAGCCCACGGUGCCGCAUGGCACAGAGGGAAAAGGAGCAAUCCGCUUUGAGAUGGCCUCGCGUCCGAUUAGCUAGUUGGUGAGGUAAUGGCCCACCAAGGCAACGAUCGGUAGCCGGACUGAGAGGUUGAACGGCCACAUUGGGACUGAGACACGGCCCAGACUCCUACGGGAGGCAGCAGUGGGGAAUAUUGCACAAUGGGGGAAACCCUGAUGCAGCGACGCCGCGUGGAGGAAGAAGGUCUUCGGAUUGUAAACUCCUGUUGUUGAGGAAGAUAAUGACGGUACUCAACAAGGAAGUGACGGCUAACUACGUGCCAGCAGCCGCGGUAAAACGUAGGUCACAAGCGUUGUCCGGAAUUACUGGGUGUAAAGGGAGCGCAGGCGGGAAGACAAGUUGGAAGUGAAAUCUAUGGGCUCAACCCAUAAACUGCUUUCAAAACUGUUUUUCUUGAGUAAUGCAGAGGUAGGCGGAAUUCCCGGUGUAGCGGUGGAAUGCGUAGAUAUCGGGAGGAACACCAGUGGCGAAGGCGGCCUACUGGGCACCAACUGACGCUGAGGCUCGAAAGUGUGGGUAGCAAACAGGAUUAGAUACCCUGGUAGUCCACACCGUAAACGAUGAUUACUAGGUGUUGGAGGAUUGACCCCUUCAGUGCCGCAGUUAACACAAUAAGUAAUCCACCUGGGGAGUACGACCGCAAGGUUGAAACUCAAAGGAAUUGACGGGGGCCCGCACAAGCAGUGGAGUAUGUGGUUUAAUUCGACGCAACGCGAAGAACCUUACCAAGUCUUGACAUCCCUUGACGAUGCUGGAAACAGUAUUUCUCUUCGGAGCAAGGAGACAGGUGGUGCAUGGUUGUCGUCAGCUCGUGUCGUGAGAUGUUGGGUUAAGUCCCGCAACGAGCGCAACCCUUAUGGUCAGUUACUACGCAAGAGGACUCUGGCCAGACUGCCGUUGACAAAACGGAGGAAGGUGGGGAUGACGUCAAAUCAUCAUGCCCUUUAUGACUUGGGCUACACACGUACUACAAUGGCGUUAAACAAAGAGAAGCAAGACCGCGAGGUGGAGCAAAACUCAGAAACAACGUCCCAGUUCGGACUGCAGGCUGCAACUCGCCUGCACGAAGUCGGAAUUGCUAGUAAUCGCAGAUCAGCAUGCUGCGGUGAAUACGUUCCCGGGCCUUGACACACCGCCCGUCAAGGGAG